CACCAGACUCCUACGGGAGGCAGCAGUGGGGGAUAUUGCACAAUGGGGGGAACCCUGAUGCAGCGACGCCGCGUGGGUGAAGGAGUAUUUCGGUAUGUAAAGCCCUAUCGGCAGGGAAGAAGCAAGACGGUACCUGACUAAGAAGCCCCGGCUAACUACGUGCCAGCAGCCGCGGUAAUACGUAGGGGGCGAGCGUUAUCCGGAUUCACUGGGUGUAAAGGGAGCGUAGACGGCCAUGCAAGCCAGGGGUGAAAGCCCGGGGCCCAACCCCGGGACUGCCCUUGGAACUGCAUGGCUGGAGUGCGGGAGGGGCGGGCGGAAUUCCUGGUGUAGCGGUGAAAUGCGUAGAUAUCUGGAGGAACAUCAGUGGCGAAGGCGGCCACCUGGACCGGUAUUGACGCUGAGGUGCGAAAGCGUGGGGAGCAAACAGGAUUAGAUACCCCGGUAGAA
rnacentral:rRNA from 1 species